rnacentral:rRNA from 1 species
AUUGAACGCUGGCGGCAGGCCUAACCCAUGCAAGUCGAACGAGUGGCGGACGGGUGAGUAAUGUCUGGGACACUGCCCGAUGGAGGGGGAUAACUACUGGAAACGGUAGCUAAUACCGCAUACCAUCGGAUGUGCCCAGAUGGGAUUAGCUAGUAGGUGGGGUAACGGCUCACCUAGGCGACGAUCCCUGGCUGGUCUGAGAGGAUGAACAGCCAAACGGGAACUGAGACACGGUCCAGACUCCGACAGGAGGCAGCAGUGGGGAAGAUUGCACAAUGGGCGCAAGCCUGAUGCAGCCAUGCCGCGUGUAUGAAGAAGGCCUUCGGGUUGUAAAGGACUUUCAGCGGGGAGGCGUUACCCGCAGAAGAAGCACCGGCUAACUCGGUGCCAGGAGCCGCGGUAAUAC